rnacentral:rRNA from 1 species
AUUGAACGCUGGCGGCAGGCAUAACACAUGCAAGUCGAGCGAGCGGAGGACGGGUGAGUAAUGUAUGGGGACUGCCCGAUAGAGGGGGAUAAAUACUGGAAACGGUGGCUAAUACUGCAUACUAUCGGAUAACCCAUAUGGGAUUAGCUCGUAGGGGGGGUAAAGGAUCACCUAGGCGACGAUCUCUAGCUGGUCUGAGAGGGUGAUCAGCAACACUGGGAUUGAGACACGGCCCAGACGCCUACGGAGGCAGCAGUGGGUAAUAUUGCACAAAGGGCGCAAGCCGGAUGCAGCCAUGCCGCGUGUAUGAAGAAGGCCUUAGGGUUGUAAAGUACUUUCAGCGGGGAGGCGUUACCCGCAGAAGAAGCACCGGCUAACUACGUGCCAGCAGCCGCGGUAAUUC